UUAAAGGGCCGCGGUAAUUUGACCGUGCGAAGGUAGCAUAGUCAGUAGUCUUUUAAUUGGAGGCUUGAAUGAAUGGUUGGACGAGGGACAAGCUGUCUCCUUUACGGUGCUCGAAUUUAACUUUUGAGUGAAAAGGCUCAAAUUAUUUAGAGGGACGAUAAGACCCUAUAAAACUUGAUAUAAUUCGAACUUGACUUGUGAUUUGAGUGAAAAAUAGUCUUGUUUGGUUCAUAUUUCGUUGGGGAGAUGAAGAUAUAAUGUGUAACUGUCUAUUGAAUUUUAUAGUAUUAAUUAGAAUUUGAUCCUUCUUNGAGGAUUAGGAGAAUAAGUUACUUUAGGGAUAACAGCGUGAUUUUCUUUGAGAGUUCUUAUCGACAAGAGUAGU
rnacentral:rRNA from 1 species